rnacentral:rRNA from 1 species
AUUGAACGCUGGCGGCAGGCCUAACACAUGCAAGUCGAGCGAGCGGCGGACGGGUGAGUAAUGUAUGGGGACUGCCCGAUAGAGGGGGAUAACUACUGGAAACGGUAGCUAAUACCGCAUACUAUCGGAUAACCCAUAUGGGAUUGGCUAGUUGGUGGGGUAAUGGCUCACCAAGGCGACGAUCCCUAGCUGGUCUGAGAGGAUGAUCAGCCACACUGGGACUGAGACACGGCCCAGACUCCUCCGGGGGCAGCGGUGGGGAAUAUUGCCCAAUGGGCGCAAGCCUGAGGCAGCAAUGCCGCGUGUAUGAAGAAGGCCCUGGGGUGGUAAAGUACGUUCAUUCGGGAGGCGUUACCGAAAGAGAAAGCCCCGGCUAACUCCGUGCCAGCAGCCGCGGUAAUAC